UACGUAGGCAGCGAGCGUUGUUCGGAGUUACUGGGCGUAAAGCGUGCGUAGGCGGUGUUCCAAGUCUGUUGUGAAAUCUCCCGGCUUAACUGGGAGGGUGCGGCGGAAACUGGGAGCUGGAGUGCGGGAGAGGUAAGCGGAAUUCCUAGUGUAGCGGUGAAAUGCGUAGAGAUUAGGAAGAACACCAGUGGCGAAGGCGCUUUCUGGACUGUAACUGACGCUGAGGCAUGAAAGCGUGGGGAGCAAACAGG
rnacentral:rRNA from 1 species